rnacentral:lncRNA from 1 species
UUUUUCCAACCAAUAGAAAACCUUUUUCGUCUGCCAGCACGACAAAAUCAACUAAAUUCUUCUGUCCAUAGGAUGAUUUUUGGUUUCAUCUACAAGGUAGACGGCCUACAAAUAUUUUUGUAAAUUCAUCAUUUGAGGGCUUAUUAAUGUAAAUGGCAUAUUAUUUAAUAUUUUAAUAGUAGAAAGCUUAGACAAAAUAUAGACGGACAUACCGUCACUCCAGCCUCCACUGAAAGACCGAGAAGGUGUGUGCCCCCCACGCAUAGCCUCUUAUCCAUCCAACCAAGCAAAUUAAGUGUAUUUGAUAUUGGAAUCUUCAUUUUCCUUCUUAAUACUUGCUUAUUCCCCUAUUUUUAUAAAAACAUCCAAAUUAUCCCCUCAAAUAUGGCCAGAGUCCAGAUAACCCUGUAUUUUUUUUGUUUAGUUAUUCAAAUGACUAUACCAAUUUACCCCUUAAUAAGAUUUCACUAUUUUUGUUUCUCUUAGCACAAGAGGAGUUUUAAGUUAAAGUUUUGCGGGAUGAUAUUAGGAAUAUUAUAACUUAUGUUAAAAUAUACUAUAAAGUUUUCAUCAUUAUUUUGGUAGGAAAUAAAUUAUAAUAUUGAAUACAAACUUUAUAAAAUUAAUGAUGAACAAUUUAUAAAAUAUUUUUAGCAUAACUCAUGAUGUCCACUAUCACCAAAUAAAAUUUAAAUUUAAAACUCCACUUGUACAUAGAGACAUUGAAUCACUUGAUAUAAUUGUGCG